rnacentral:rRNA from 1 species
UGCCAGCAGCCGCGGUAAGACGGAGGGCGCAAGCGUUAUUCGGAAUUAUUGGGCGUAAAGGGCGCGUAGGCGGUCUUGUCGGUCAGAUGUGAAAGCCCAGGGCUCAACCCUGGACGUGCAUUUGAAACAGCAAGACUUGAGUACGGGAGAGGAAAGCGGAAUUCCUGGUGUAGAGGUGAAAUUCGUAGAUAUCAGGAGGAACACCGAUGGCGAAGGCAGCUUUCUGGACCGAUACUGACGCUGAGACGCGAAAGCGUGGGGAGCAAACAGGAUUAGAUA